rnacentral:misc_RNA from 1 species
GUGGGAGGGGGCUUGCUCCCGAUAGCGGUGGGUCAGUCAGCUCAGUGGUAGCUGAUACACCGUCAUCGGGAGCAAGCCCCCUCCCAC